UGGCUCAGUAACCCCACAGGGAGACCUUC
rnacentral:piRNA from 1 species